GACGGACGCUGGCGGCGUGCUUAACACAUGCAAGUCGAACGAUGAACCGAGAGCUUGCUCUUGGGGAUUAGUGGCGAACGGGUGAGUAACACGUGAGUAACCUGCCCUGGACUCUGGGAUAACCCCGAGAAAUCGGAGCUAAUACCGGAUAGGACCCUGUACCGCAUGGUGUGGGGUGGAAAGUUUUUUCGGUUUGGGAUGGACUCGCGGCCUAUCAGCUUGUUGGUGAGGUAAUGGCUCACCAAGGCGUCGACGGGUAGCCGGCCUGAGAGGGUGACCGGCCACACUGGGACUGAGACACGGCCCAGACUCCUGCGGGAGGCAGCAGUGGGGAAUAUUGCACAAUGGGCGCAAGCCUGAUGCAGCAACGCCGCGUGCGGGAUGACGGCCUUCGGGUUGUAAACCGCUUUUAGUAAGGAAGAAGGGGAGUUUGCUCCUUGACGGUACUUGCAGAAAAAGGACCGGCUAACUACGUGCCAGCCGCCGCAGUAAAAC
rnacentral:rRNA from 1 species